GAUGAACGCUAGCGGGAGGCCUAACACAUGCAAGCCGAGCGGGAUUUGUUGGUUAGCUUGCUAACUAACAAUGAGAGCGGCGUACGGGUGCGUAGCACGUGUGCAACCUGCCUUUAUCUGGGGGAUAGCCUUUCGAAAGGAAGAUUAAUACCCCAUAACAUAUUGAUUGGCAUCAGUUAAUAUUGAAAGCUCCGGCGGAUAGAGAUGGGCACGCGUAAGAUUAGCUAGUUGGUGAGGUAACGACUCACCAAGGCUGCGAUCUUUAGGGGGCCUGAGAGGGUGAUCCCCCACACUGGUACUGCGACACGGACCAGACUCCUACGGGAGGCGGCAGUGAGGAAUAUUGGACAAUGGGUGAGAGCCUGAUCCAGCCAUCCCGCGUGAAGGACUAAGGACCUAUGGUUUGUAAACUUCUUUUAUACAGGGAUAAACCUACUCUCGUGAGGGUAGCUGAAGGUACUGGAUGAAUAAGCACCGGCUAACUCCGUG
rnacentral:rRNA from 1 species